rnacentral:rRNA from 1 species
UACGUAGGGUGCGAGCGUUAAUCGGAAUUACUGGGCGUAAAGCGCACGCAGGUGGUUGGGCAAGUCGGGUGUGAAAUCCCCGGGCUCAACCUGGGAACUGCAUCCGAGACUGCAUUGCUAGAGUAUGGGAGAGGGAAGCGGAAUUUCUGGUGUAGCGGUGAAAUGCGUAGAUAUCAGGAGGAACACCUGUGGUGUAGACAGCUUACUGGACCAUAACUGACGCUGAGGCACGAAAGCGUGGGUAGCAAACAGG